GAUCCUGGCUCAGGAUGAACGCUAGCUACAGGCUUAACACAUGCAAGUCGAGGGGCAGCAUGGACCCAGCUUUGCUGGGUUUGAUGGCGACCGGCGCACGGGUGAGUAACGCGUAUCCAACCUGCCCUUUACUCCGGGAUAGUCUCCUGAAAGGGAGUUUAAUACCGGAUGUGUUUGUCUUUCCGCAUGGGAGCGACAAAUAAAGAUAAUUGGUAAGGAUGUGGAUGCGUCCCAUUAGCUUGUUGGG
rnacentral:rRNA from 1 species